rnacentral:rRNA from 1 species
UACGUAGGGGGCAAGCGUUGUCCGGAUUUAUUGGGCGUAAAGAGCGUGUAGGCGGCCAGACAGGUCCGUUGUGAAAACUCGAGGCUCAACCUCGAGACGCCGAUGGAAACCGUUUGGCUAGAGUCCGGAAGAGGAGAGUGGAAUUCCUGGUGUAGCGGUGAAAUGCGCAGAGAUCCGGAGGAACACCGACGGCGCAGGCAGCGUCCUGGCCGCUUGCUGACACUGAGGCACGAAAGCUGGGGGAGCAAACAGG